rnacentral:rRNA from 1 species
GAGUUUGAUCGUGGCUCAGGAUGAACGCUAGCGGCAGGCUUAACACAUGCAAGUCGAGGGGUAGAAGGAGCUUGCUCCUUUGAGACCGGCGCACGGGUGCGUAACGCGUAUGCAAUCUACCUUGUACAGGGGGAUAGCCCAGAGAAAUUUGGAUUAAUACCCCAUAGUGUAAUGAAACGGCAUCGUUUUAUUACUAAAGUUCCAACGGUACAAGAUGAGCAUGCGUCCCAUUAGCUAGUUGGUGUGGUAACGGCAUACCAAGGCAACGAUGGGUAGGGGUCCUGAGAGGGAGAUCCCCCACACUGGUACUGAGACACGGACCAGACUCCUACGGGAGGCAGCAGUGAGGAAUAUUGGUCAAUGGGCGCAAGCCUGAACCAGCCAUGCCGCGUGCAGGAUGACGGUCCUAUGGAUUGUAAACUGCUUUUG